AUCUAUUAAGAGGUUCCUGAUGGGAUCCUUUUUUUAUUGUGAUUAAUAAAAGGAGAAGCCCUGUAACCGAAAGGUGGAAAAAUUAUG
rnacentral:sRNA from 2 species